GAUGAACGCUGACAGAAUGCUUAACACAUGCAAGUCUUUGGUGAAGCUGUUCUUGCACUGCCUAGCCAAGGCGGACGGGUGAGUAACGCGUGAGGAACUUGCCCUGCAGUCAGGGAUAACAGACGGGAACGACUGAUAAGACCUGGUAAAGUCAGGCGGACUCAUGUCCAGCCUGAUGAAAAGAGAUGCUGCAGGAGAGCCUUGCGUCCUAUUAGCUUGUUGGUGGGGUAACGGCCCACCAAGGCAAUGAUAGGUAGCCGGCCUGAGAGGGUGGACGGCCACAAGGGGACUGAGAUACGGCCCUUACUCCUACGGGAGGCAGCAGUGGGGAAUAUUGGACCAUGGGGGCAACCCUGAUCCAGCAAUUCUGUGUGCACGAUGAAGGUUUUCGGAUUGUAAAGUGCUUUCAGCAGGGAAGAAAAAAAUGACGGUACCUGCAGAAGAAGCGACGGCUAAAUACGUG
rnacentral:rRNA from 1 species